GCCCUUGUAGCUCAAUUGGCAGAGCGCUUUCCUUGUAAGAAAGAGGUCAUGGAUUCAAAUUCCAUCUAGGGCA
rfam:Candidate division WS6 bacterium GW2011_GWE1_34_7 TR61_C0027, whole genome shotgun sequence.